GCACUAGGUGUUACAAGGCAGCUCAGCCUCUUUUCCUAAACAGACCCAGUUCAUGGCUGCAACAGAUCCAUCCUGUGCAGUGAAACAGAUAUGAAAAGCACGAUGACUUAGUUGUCGUUUCAGCGACAGACUGCUAAGCUGACACGUCAUUACCCUGGAAGAAGACGCAUACCAUUCAGAAGGUGAAAUUCUCAGAUUACCCAAGAGAUAUUCCUUCCUGGAAAGGGAAAUAGGACAGAGAUACAUAGCUAUUUUUCAGUCCCUUCAUUUACAUGGAAUUAUUUCAAGUAAGUUUUAUAGUGUUUCUUGUGAUUUAAACCUUACUGGCUCAUAUUUUCAAAGGCAAGAGUUUGAAAUUUCAGUAACAGUUCUGCAUGCACUACAACACCGUUUCAGGAUCUGUCUCCUUUACAGUGGGGCAUAUUUCUACUAAACCCUUACCUCCUGUGAACGUACAUGGACAAUGUAAAACUUUAUCUAAAAAAUAUUCUUUCCACCUAGUAGUCAGAAUCAGUAUUUAUACCAGUGAUUAAAAAGUGACAUCCUAGAACAGAUAAAAAAUAGUGAAGCUCUGAUGUGUAACCUCAAAGCCGGAGAAGACAGAGCUCCAUAGAAUCCAGCAGUUCCAGCCAAACCAAAGUAAAAUCUAAUACACAGAGUUUCUGGAUUCACAUUUUAUUGCCUGCCCUAAUGUUUUUGCUUUGGUACCAUUUUGCUGAGAGAUGCUCUAAACUUGAAUCCUGGAUCUGAGCAGUCGCAAAUGGCUGUGUACCUUUUUUCAUACAGCAAACCAAAUCUAAAAUUUCAGGUCUUUUUGAUUAAAGAUGCCAGUUUACGUAUUAUAGCUCUCCCUUUGUAUAUAUGUAAUGCAGGGUAGAAGUAACUGUAGCAAAGCAUACAGUAACAGGCUUAUUUACUGAUCCGGGGUAUAAAUCUAGUUGCUUAAGCAAACAUGAACUGUUUAAACAAUUGAGUAAGCAAACAUGAAACAUGAGAUACACUAGAAAGGAUUCUGUUUUGAAAGUUGGGGACUUGGGUUUUUUUUGUUUAACAAGGCCAUACUGUCAUUUCUUGUAACAGCUGGAGAAGUGAUUGGAGAGGAAGAGGUCUCUUCAGUAUUUGUAUAAUAAAGAUUUCUUAUUCACUUUAAUGGCAAACCACCUUAACAUUUCAAUAACCGUGCACCAUAUUACAACGACUCACAUAGACCAAAAUGGAUCUGAUAACCAAAAAGCAACCCAUAAAUGACUCUGCCCUCCACUGCAAAGCCCAUACAGGUCCCAGUUUUUAGUUUCAGCAGAAGAAGAUGAAAUCCUGCUCCAGGGUGCAACUGUCUCCCCGAGGAGUGCACAGCCACCCUGUUAGAUGUGCUGGCUGGUAAGUACUCCCAGAAAAGAGUUGUUCCUAAAGCCUCACGCGGACCAGUCCCAGCAGAAUGGGAACGUGAACAAAACGUGCCCAGACAGAAUGCAGCAAUUGUUACUGGCCUAUCUGCUGUGCCCCUGACCAGGGGCUAAGCCGGGACCCCUUCCCUUAGGCCCUUUUGUGGAAGGUUAUUUUAGUGGGUAGCCGAGGGAUCCUUAGCCAGAACUAGUGAGACUGUUUUGAUGGCAUUCACUACCCAGGGACUUUCACAGUUGCUGCAGUUCAGGUUAAACUAUAAUGCAGUGGAAUCUCCCUUUGAAGGCUGCUAUUUGCUUAUGCCAAAGUUAUUCUUGCAGAGGAAGUGAUAGGAAUGUACAAUUUUAGAGCAGGAAAUACCACUGUCUAAAUAACUCAACGUGUAUGAACACAGGGCGUUACAAUGGCAUUCCCUUGGAUAGGCAGCUGUUAAAACCAAACUCUCCCCUUCUUGCAGGCAAGCAUCUGGAAGAUUUGCAGGACAUUAACUUCUUUCCAGCGCCUUGGCUGAUACGGCUCCUGUCCAAGCAUUACCAUGCAGUGAGUUGGAACAAUCCUUUGCAGAACAAAAAUGGAAAUGAGUGUAUUUCCUGAAACUCAGAUUAUUGGACUACAGUAAUUACAUUAUAUACUAACAAGGUACCCUCAAGUCCUGGUAAGAUUUGUGCCAUGUUAUGUCAGAAGUUGUACAGCAGGGUGUCAAAAGCAACCUCUGGACUGAAAGGCUUUUUCUUCCCUGUUGUAUGUAUAAAACAGCUUUGGUAAUAGUCCUUGGGAUAUUAGGUACCACAGUAAAUGAGGCAGGGUACUAAUGCAAAAAAGUAGAUGAGAACAGAAAGGAAGAUAUUUUUAGCCUGGUGGCUAGACUAAUGUUAUCCUUACUUGCACUUUAUAAAUCAUUUUUUGACUUUCUGCAGGUUUCUGAAGAGUGCACUAUAUUCCGAACAUCCAGCUAUUCCUUCCGAAACAGUGUGAAACAGCUAUUCCUUCACUAAUACUGUAUAGGACAUUCCUAGUAUUUAAUGAUUAAUAUUUUUAAAGUAUAUAGGAGUUUGUUCCUCUCUGUGCAAUGUUGCAGAUUCUGGAGAAUUUUAAGGAUAAUUUGAUAAAGUCUAGGGGAACUUUCAGGUAAAGCUUUCCCUUGCAGUUUAGCCUGCUGCAAAAGCAGUGAAGGCUAAACUGGCUGGUUGCCCUGAAACAGUGCAGCAGCCCUUGCAUGCUUUUCCGCUGGCCCUGCCUGGGGUGCAGUCAUUUCUAACAGUGGGGUGGCAAACAGCUGUGAUUAUCAUAUCGAUUUCUGUGGCAAAGUCUCAGCCUUGCUGUCCUUUCUCUGCUCUCUCACUAAACAUUAAGGUGCCUCAGCUUUCUUAGGCAAUUGGGAUAGAUAGCCCUACAACAGAGAGAGAGACAGCGGCAGGGAUGGCUUUUCCCUUCAUCACUGUCAGUGCUCUUUGGGACCCUUCAGUUUUACCUCCUUCACAGUGGGGAUGGUAAGUGUUUGCUAUAAGAUGCUUGCCAGUUUGGAACUGGACUGAAACAGCUCUCACCUCAUUUGCUGUAGACACUGUAAUGUACAGCAAGCUUAGUCCAAUGCUCGCAGGAAGAAAGUUAACAAGAAGAUGUAUUAAUUGUAUUGCACACCAGAGAAGCCCACAUACUUCUUAAAAUCCCCCUUCAGUCACCACCAGAAUGAACUAGAUUUGAAUUAGUGACUGAUAAGUGAAUUAGGUUUUGUUGCUAUGCAUCGCUCCCAUGCAUGAACUGUAUUAUCCAUGCAGUUCUUCCUUGGAGCCAGCUCUUUUCUCUUCGUAAUCACAGACACAUUGCAAAAUGAGAUUCAAUCUGCUCUACUUUGCAUUCUUAAAAAUAUUCUCCCUACAAGUUUAGCUAGUCAUACUUAAUUUGUUUUGCUACUUGAAAGGGGUUACAGAUUUGACAUUCUAGAAAACAGCUGUAAUUUUUACAGGAAAAAAAGUAUAUGAUUCAUAAUUUUCCAGAAAUAUGCACAUUACACACAUAACAUAUUGGUAUUUUCUGGAAAGUAUGCUGAAUCUUGAGAGUUUGACCAUAUUGUUUAUGUUUCCCGGCUUGCCUACCUGUUCAAGCACCACACCAAAUGUCACUGCUUGCAAUGAGGAACCACUGUGGUCUGUCAUGUCGUCACCAUUCUCCACCUGAAAGGAAAAGAGAGUGAGCCGCAGCUUACAACACAUGUUGGUUGUAUAGUCUACAAAAGCUAUGCAAGAGGAGUGCUGGAAACACAUGAUUAAUAUCUGCUGCUUUCCCAGUGAGCAAGUUUAGCAGCAAUUACUUCAGCACUUUGCCACAGUCGCUCUUCAGGAGUUUUGAUCAGCUAAGCGACUAGCGACGCAGGUCCAGUUCUCCACUGAAUUUUACUGUGCUGUAGUUUACAGCUCCAAAAAGUAAUUUCAAGAUGGUGUAGUUUUGCAACAGUAUUUUCCAGUGGCACAGAGGAAUGUGGACUCACUGUGGUCUCAGCAGAAUGAUUAUUAUCUUCAUUUUGAAUUAGCAGUAUUUCACUGCAGACCUUACUUUCUAGUGUGAUAUUAUCUUUAAACUAUUUCUUUGACUUUAUGUUACAAUAACAUUUUUCUUGUUAGAGUCUUUGUGACAUUUGAUCCCACUUAUUGAGAUGAGUAGGUACCCAUGUUUUACUUCUUUAAUCGUCUUUUAGAAGUCAUGAUACUAUGAGGAAAUAAUUUGCAUUUAUGAAUUCUUUUUUGAGAUAAAAGCAGUCAGACAUGAAGGUUCGCCGUACAGCUUCUACACUGAAGGCGCAUUUUCAGGAAGCUGGUUUCUGAAUGUCUGCAAACAUUAAGUGACAGGAAAUUUAUUUCAUUAUCCUCCUUCUAAUGAAGCCCCAUAUCAUCAACAGGACAUGACAGAAUAAGCCAGCUUUGUCAAGCACACAGACCCAGCUUUAUCUUUCUUUGCUGCUGCGCAUAAUCGUAUCAGCCUGAGGCUGGAGCAGGAAGUUAAGUUUGAAAUAAAAGCACAGUGCCUUAUAGAUGGGAAGUGGAGACAGUUCAGUAUUGAUCAACUCACCCUGAAGUCUGGAGUCACACAAUCCUCUUGCAAAAGCCAGCCUCUGUCAUCUGCAAAUACGAGUUCUUCUGCAGCCACCCAAGUAACUCUGCCUCCCCCAGAAUGGACAAAAUACAGUGUGUCUGAGAGCUCUGUCACUGAUGAAAGUAGAUCAGAACUUCUCUCCAGGGCCAACCCUCAUUUGGAUGCCACUUUGCAACACAGAAAGCAUCUAGCUGGACCAGCACGAGGCUUCCUGUCUCUCUGAGGAAGGAUUGGCCUCACAGGAUCAUGGAUCUCCCGUCCCGCUGCCUUACAAGAGCUUCUUUAUGAACUCGUUGCUGCAGGCAUGUCAGAAAAAAAAGCUGGGAACCAGAAAGAAUUGCUGGGGUUGGGUUAUUGAGUGCUGGGGAGAUGCCGAGAUAGCAUUGUGGCCCAGGGAACAGCGUGGGCAGACAGCUAGCAGUUGUUUAAUUUAUUCACUAAGCCUUUCUAGCCUCCAGAAUAAUCAAACAGCAUGGAGAUGUUAAGAGAAGCUUAAAGCCUAGCAAGAACUCUCCCAUGUCCCUUGGUGUUUAGUCAGAUGAGCAAGAAUCCUUGCCAGCUGGAGCUGUAGUACAUCUUCCUUCUGAGGAACUGUUUGCAAGAUCCAAGGCUGAGGGCACUGAAGGAUAUGUCACAACAAUGUUUUGCCCUGCCUAAAAUCCAGGCAGUGUGGCAAACACCGCUGUGCCAGCCUUCACGCAGGUCCCCAAGGCUGCUUUUGCUAGGCACUGGGCAUACCUCACAUGAAUAUAGAUCAGGAAUGUUUUAAGAAUGUAUUUAACUUUACUUUAACUUUAGUUUCCUGCUUUGUGAAUGUUGUCUCUCCAAGUUCUCACUGUACACUCCAGCAAUCCCACCACCAAAGGGUGUUUACUGCAAUAGUUAGAGAUAAAAGGGAGUAUGUAUCAGAAUGAAACCAUACCACUGGGGAAUAAAGUUACUUAGCUAUGGGAAACACAUGUGUAUGUGAAGACUUCCCUUGACUUUAACACACGCAUUCUGCUUGUUAUAAAAUUUCUUUUUAUAUAACUUGACCUAACAACAUCUGCAAAGUUCUUGCCUUUUUGAAACAGCUAUGAAUAGUUGCUGUUUAUUUCUUAUUAAGCCCCAUUGGUUUGUCAUUCUGGUCAGCCUUUCAUUGCUGUAAAAACAUUUGCUCUAAAGAUUAUCAGUAUUUAAAAUACGUAUUUCUUAGUAAUCUUGAGGUCAGGAGAACAUUAUUCCAAAGACCACGUGCAUGAUUCUACAGCAUAAAGUUUGUUUUUUGCCUGCUAGAAAAAAGUCGUGUGCUUGCACUAACUCAGAAAUUUGAAAGAAAAUGUAAGAUAGCUAAUGUAUUUUGCAAUCAUUUCUGUAAAACUAUUAACAGUUAACAAUUGGCUGAGAAUUUAAGUCUGAACUUUUCUUAGAAACAGUUCAGUAAAAUCUUUUUUCAGUUAUUAAAGUUUGUAAUUGAAACAUUGACAUAUUUUAGGAAAUCCAGAAGAUUUGGGGACAUCUUUUAGCAGAUAAAUCCUAUAGGUAGUAUGCUGCCAAAUUCACACACAUCGUUUUUCACAUAUUCACACACAGAAACCAAUAUUAAAGCAGAACUAAGAUUAAAAAGAUGUUUCAGCAGAAUUCAGAACCCACCAGCUAGAUGCAAUCACAUUUUCAAGAGCUUAAAAGUCCUAAAUCUUACCCAUAUCAUAAACAUUGGCAGAAGGGUAGAGAGAAGAGACCUCUGCUAAGACUCUGACUGCAGGAAAGACGCACAGAGCUUGGCUGAGGUCCUGUCCCUUUGGGCCAGCUGGCUGUCAGCACACGUACAGCUCUAGCCCCACCUCAGCACUCCUCUCUGGCCUGGAGGAGUGCUAAGAGGACAUGGGAAGGAGGUGGGAUUCCUGCAGUGGGUAGAGAUAAAGGGUCAGAGACAAAUCCAUAAAGUUAAUAAUUUUGCUGCUCAGAGAACAACUUAUGUCUUUGCAAAGUUUUCACUUAAGGCUUUGAUCUAGUAAUUUCUCCCCCUCCUCCCCCCCAAAUUAAUUGUGAUUUCUGCAGUGGCACCAGGUAUCCCUAAAAAUUGCAUUACAAGAAAAUUGUACCUGAGGCAGGAUACAUGCUGGGGUCAGCAGGUAGCUGUCCCAAGGGCUAAAGGGAUUAGUUAAUACAACAUACUUUCUCAGUCCCCAUCUUGUGGGCCAUU